rnacentral:rRNA from 1 species
UACGGGGGGGGCAAGCGUUGUUCGGAAUUACUGGGCGUAAAGGGCGCGUAGGCGGUUCGCUAAGUUGGAUGUGAAAACUCUGGGCUUAACCCAGAGCCUGCAUCCAAAACUGGCAAACUUGAGUACUGGAGGGGAAAGCGGAAUUCCUGGUGUAGCGGUGAAAUGCGUAGAUAUCAGGAGGAACACCGGUGGCGAAGGCGGCUUUCUGGACAGUAACUGACGCUGAUGCGCGAAAGCUAAGGGGAGCAAAGCAGG